CCAUCUAUCAGCCAUUGAUCAGGGACAGUCAGAUCCAGGACAACAACACAGGGAUCCCAGAAUACGUAACACUUGUAAAUGAUGAUGGUAAAUGCAGUAAUAAUCAAGCAAUUCCAGAAUAUCUGGCAAUAAUACCUGAUCAACCCAUGAGCCAAUCACCACCAUCACUUGAAUAYGACUACGCAGCACCUGAUGGUCRACAAAGUCCAGCUCUAAAGAGGCCUGGAAAUAAGGGGCUGCCACAACCACCAGGAAAUAGUCCCAGAUCAAUCCAAUCCCCUGUAUAUGACAUUCUUGAACAACCAACUCAUUAUACUGAGAAUGAAUAUUUAGCCCCCAUUGAUGGCUUUAUUUCAGAGAAAUGAGGGAAUCAAGGUCAGUUUAUGAUCAGUUCAAACAUUCAAUUAAGUCAACAGAAUUUAUGUAGUUAUGAUUUUACUACAUGAAUUUGAAUUCUGGAACAGUUUGCAAUAAUGAUGAUGAUGAAAAGAUAGAAUAUAUUGCCACUGAUCAUAGUUCCUAACUAUAUGGACUGAUGUAUUUUGUAAAUCGAAUAGAUCUCAGAAUAUCUGUUGACUAAAGAACUUUAUAUCAAGACAUUUAUAAGAAUAUUUUUUAUCGUUUUUUACUCUCACUGUAAAUUAAAUGAAUAUAUUUUUUCAUGUAAUACUUUAAUGUGACUCCAUUUAGAUAAUAAAAUUAUCAUUAUUACAA